AAAACUAAUACUGCAAAAUAAAACACACACACUCACACAAACACACAUUAUUUCUCAAGGAAGAUGGAAAAAAAAAGGUUACAUUGAUUUUUUUUUUAAAGCGGGACAUUCUCACUACUUUUUUCACCUGAAGAUUGAAAAGGAAACUCAUUUCAGUUUGUAACAUUGCACUGACUGUUCCAGACACAAAAUGAAUCAAGUCUCCUGUUGGAUUAUGUGGUUAGCAUUUCUUCUCUUCCCUGAUAUAGAAAUUUAGAUCUGUAAGGACCAUCAGUGUGGUGAAGGUCACAUGUACAUCAGAAUUGGAAUUGGAGUCAUGUCAAGAUGUUCUCACUGGCAAAGACAGGAGGAGGUUAAAAUAGCUCCUUGUAUGGCAGUAACCUCGGGAGAAAAAGAACUAAUAGAAAAUAAAUGGCAGGUAUUUUUUUUGAAUCAUUUGUAUGAUAAGCUUAUAAUGUACUUGUCUCAAUGCAGAAAGCACAAGGAAAAAAUAAAUAUGUCCACAUCACAUUGGUAGACAAAGCACUAAGCACGUAGGUUGUCAGAAAUUCGAUAUCCCUUUCUCUUUUCUAUAUCCUCUACCAAACAGAAAGUUUCACAUACAUCUGAGACUUCAGUGUCUAUGUGACUUGAGUACAAUUUCCUUUUUCGUCUUUGUUUUUCCUUUACUUACUCGUUUCCCUUUAUUCUUACCUGAGAUAUAGAGAAUAAAAAAUAACACUAUAGAAUCAACCUUUUUUUCUAGGUAAUUUAGAAUAAAUUUUCCAGAACAUAAAAAGGAUAAUGAUGGCAUUAUGUAAAUUUCAGACCAAAAUUUUCUGAAUUAAAUUAUUUUUACAUAGAUAAUGGUUCACUUCUGAUUAGGAACAAUAAAUAAAAAGUAAUCUUAACAAUAUGACAAUACAACUUAGCCUUCUUGCAUUAUCUUUUUUAGUCUAAAUAUUUAAUUAUUAUAAUUUGCAUAAAAUCAAAAUUAUAGUGCAAUUCUUUUCUUUACAAAAUAAUCACAAUAAAGUAUUUUAAUCAAGCAACUGAGCACAUACAAUUAUUAUUCUAUGUCCAUAAAAUUUUUUUGCAGAAAACAUUUAUAUAAGAAUUUCAGUAGUCAAACAUUGAGUAGCAGGAAAAUACUAUUAAAUUUUAAAAACCAAACAAGCAUUGGAAACAGAAAAAUGGAUACGAAGAGAAGCAAGUAUUCUCCUGUAUUUAUAAUUGUGGUACUUUACAAUACAUGUAAUAUAUCUUUAGAAAGAUUAAUUGUCUUUUAUUCUCACAGAAAUUCUAUGAGCCAGGCAGAGGAACUGUUUUUGUUCCCGUUUUACUUCUGUAAAAACUGAGUCUCAGAAUAACUGCUCCCCAGAAGUAUAGAAUGAUUAAAGGUCAGAGACAGAGCCUGCAUAUUUUCACAUUUGUUAUACUUUUUUAGCUAUUGUUGUCCAAGAGUACUCUUACUUUUGUGAUACUUUCUUUAUUUCACUGUUCAGAAUUUUUAUAUUUGUAUGAUUUAACAAAAUAAUCGGUAAAUUUCAUUUUCGGGGAUUAAAAGUUAGGUUGUGGAAGCUACAUUAGGUUGUGGAAGUUGUGCCCCAUCUGAGACAAAUCUUGGAUUAAUCAGUGAUUGAUUAAAUUAUUGAAAGUUUAGUUAUUCAAAGAAAUUGGCAUAGAAGUACAUUAAGCUAAGCUUUAUCUGGUAAGAUGGAGAACUAACAUGAUGUGGGCUUCUUUCUGUGACCACAACCCUGGAAAUGACACAGAAAUCAGCAUCUAAUACUAAAAGAUGUGAGAAACCCUUGCACUUACAAACUACAGUAAAGUCUGUGAGUAGAGAAAAAAAUGACAGCAAAGAGCAGAAAACUGAGUGUAAGGAAACCAGAAUAUGCUGGGGCGGAAGUUUUUAGUGGUCAUCAUUUCUUUUCAUUGCAUUCCUGUAUUUUUUUCUGCUCUUUCAAUAGUUAGAGUACCCACAGUGUGCAAGGCACUCUUCUAAAUAGUGAGAAUACACUACAGAGCCAGAAAGACAAAACCUUGACCAAAUGGAGCUCCCAUUCUAGCAAAACUAGAGUUGAAAAGAGACCACUGCUAACUCCUUUAAAGCCAUUUUGGAGUCGGCCAGGCAGAAUAUGACUCAACCUAGCUUGGAAAACGAGGAAAUAGUGACAAAUGCAGAAAGACCAUCUGAACCCUAGGCAUUCUCCUCUAACCCAGCUACUCCAUACAGUGAGUGUUAGGAUGGUGAUUAAAACUGAGGGAGACCAGUCUUGGUAAACAGCACCACCCAGGACACAUGAAUACACCAACUUUUAUGGAGGAGGAAGGCAAACAAAGGGUGGCAGAAUCCAGUUAUUUCCUAAGGAGUCCUUCAUUCUAAACACUUCUGGUGGGUCAAUCUUGAGCCUGAUUUUAGUGCCAUGUAUUCUUAAUCAGCAUAAUAAAUCUUACUAGGAAAAAAUAGGCCUCAAAGGAAUUCAAUGACUCUAAAAUAAAAUACAUGUAUAUCGAAGACAACCAGAUUUACAAAAAUUAACAAUAGUUUAAAAUAUGUGACCAUGUGUGUUGGUUUACGUCUGUAAUCCCAGCACUUUGGGAGUCCAAGACAGGAGCAUUGCUUGAAGCUAGGACCUUGAGAUCAGCUCGGGCAACCAAGAGAGCCCCUGUCUCUACAAAAUAAAUAAUAAUUUAAAAAAAUAGCUAGGUGUGGCGGCAUGCACUUGUAGUCCCAGUUACCAAGGAGGCUGAGGCAGGAGAAUCUCUUGAGCCCAGGAGGUCAAGGCUGCAGUUAGCUAGGAGGCUGUCACCACUGCACUUGCUCCAGCCUGAGUAACAGAGAAAGACACUGUCUCUGAAGAAAAAAAAAAAGUUAAAAUAAAUCCAAAAAUAUGUAUAGUAAAUGUUCUCAAAGACAUAAGGCACAAUAUUUGAAACCUGAAGAAGAAAUUAGCAAUCAUAAAAUAUUUUUUCAGUAGGAAAACCAUAUCUGUUGAAAUGAAGGAUUAAAUAUAUGGUAUAAACAGCAGAAGGGUUAAAUUUGAGGAGUGCUCAUUAGUGAGAUGGAAGAUAAUGUUCAAAUAAUAAAUUUUUUUUUAAAUUUAGAAAACUAGACUUCACAUGUACUGCUGAUGGGAGUACAGACUGAUGCAACUAUCCAGAGAGCAAUGUGGAGUGAAAUGAAAUCCAAACCUAUGAACCAGCAAUCCUACUCUUGAUCCACAUGGCAAAUCAACUUAAGUUUAAACUCAUGAAAGGAUAUGAUAUCCAUUAGAGACAUUUGUUGUUGCAGGGAGUUGGAAGGAGGCAAAGAAUCUAUCACUGUAAUACACACACACAAUUGUUUAUGAAAAUGGAAUACAGGCCAGAUGUGGUGGCUUAUGCCUAUAAUCACAGUGCUUUGGGAGGCUGAGGUGGGCAGAUCACAAGGUUAGCAGUUUGAGACCAGCCUGUCCAAUAUGGUGAAACUCCAUCUCUACUAAAAAUACAAAACUUAGCCAGGCGUGGUGACAUGUGCCUGUAGUUCCAGGUACUCGGGAGGCUGAGGCAGAAGAAUCGCUUGAACAUGGGAGGCAGAGGUUGCAAUGAGCCGAGAUCACGCCACUGCACUCCAGCCUGGGCAACAGAGCAAGACUCCAUCU